AACAAACGCUGGCGGCAUGCCCUACACAUGCAAGUCGAACGGUAACAGGUCUUCGGAUGCUGACGAGUGGCGAACGGGUGAGUAAUACAUCGGAACGUGCCCGAGAGUGGGGGAUAACGAAGCGAAAGCUUUGCUAAUACCGCAUACGAUCUCAGGAUGAAAGCAGGGGGCCGCAAGGCCUUGCGCUCACGGCGCAGCCGAUGGCAGAUUAGGUAGUUGGUGGGAUAAAAGCUUACCAAGCCGACGAUCUGUAGCUGGUCUGAGAGGACGACCAGCCACACUGGGACUGAGACACGGCCCAGACUCCUACGGGAGGCAGCAGUGGGGAAUUUUGGACAAUGGGCGCAAGCCUGAUCCAGCCAUGCCGCGUGCAGGAUGAAGGCCUUCGGGUUGUAAACUGCUUUUGUACGGAACGAAAAGACUCCUUCUAAUAAAGGGGGUCCAUGACGGUACCGUAAGAAUAAGCACCGGCUAACUACGUGCCAGCCGCCGCGGUAAAAC
rnacentral:rRNA from 1 species